GACGUAGGGCGCGAGCGUUGUCCGGAUUUAUUGGGCGUAAAGAGCUCGUAGGCGGUUUGUCGCGUCGAAUGUGAAAACCCGGGGCUCAACUCCGGGCCUGCAUUCGAUACGGGCAGACUAGAGUUCGGUAGGGGAGACUGGAAUUCCUGGUGUAGCGGUGAAAUGCGCAGAUAUCAGGAGGAACACCAGUGGCGAAGGCGGUGCUCUGGGCCGGAACUGACGCUGAGGAGCGAAAGCGUGGGGAGCAAACAGG
rnacentral:rRNA from 1 species